rnacentral:rRNA from 1 species
UACGGGGGGAGCAAGCGUUGUUCGGAUUUACUGGGCGUAAAGGGCGCGUAGGCGGUCAGCACAAGUCAGUUGUGAAAUCUCCGGGCUUAACUCGGAAAGGUCAACUGAUACUGUGCGACUAGAGUGCAGAAGGGGCAACUGGAAUUCUCGGUGUAGCGGUGAAAUGCGUAGAUAUCGAGAGGAACACCUGCGGCGAAGGCGGGUUGCUGGGCCGACACUGACGCUGAUGCGCGAAAGCGUGGGGAGCGAACAGG